GGGGAAUUUUCCGCAAUGGGCGAAAGCCUGACGGAGCAACGCCGCGUGAGGGAGGAAGGCCUUAGGGUUGUAAACCUCUUUUCUCUGGGAAGAAGAACUGACGGUACCAGAGGAAUAAGCCUCGGCUAACUCCGUGCCAGCAGCCGCGGUAAGACGGAGGAGGCAAGCGUUAUCCGGAAUUAUUGGGCGUAAAGCGUCCGCAGGCGGCUAAUUAAGUCUGUUGUCAAAGGUCACAGCUCAACUGUGGAUCGGCAAUGGAAACUGAUUAGCUAGAGUGUGGUAGGGGUAGAGGGAAUUCCCGGUGUAGCGGUGAAAUGCGUAGAUAUCGGGAAGAACACCAGUGGCGAAGGCGCUCUACUGGGCCACAACUGACGCUGAGGGACGAAAGCUAGGGGAGCGAAAGGGAUUAGAUACCCCUGUAGUCCUAGCUGUAAACGAUGGAUACUAGGUGUUGGACGUAUCGACCCGUGCAGUACCGUAGCUAACGCGUUAAGUAUCCCGCCUGGGGAGUACGCACGCAAGUGUGAAACUCAAAGGAAUUGACGGGGGCCCGCACAAGCGGUGGAGGAUGUGGUUUAAUUCGAUGCAACGCGAAGAACCUUACCAAGGCUUGACAUGUCGCGAAUCUUUCAGAGAUGAGAGAGUGCCUUCGGGAGCGCGAACACAGGUGGUGCAUGGCUGUCGUCAGCUCGUGUCGUGAGAUGUUGGGUUAAGUCCCGCAACGAGCGCAACCCACGUUUUUAGUUGCCAUCAUUUAGUUGGGCACUCUAAAGAGACUGCCGGGGACAACUCGGAGGAAGGUGUGGACGACGUCAAGUCAUCAUGCCCCUUACGUCUUGGGCUACACACGUCCUACAAUGCUACAGACAGAGGGCAGCGAGCGCGCGAGUGCAAGCAAAUCCCAUAAACUGUGGCUCAGUUCAGAUUGCAGGCUGCAACUCGCCUGCAUGAAGGCGGAAUCGCUAGUAAUCGCCGGUCAGCAUACGGCGGUGAAUACGUUCCCGGGCCUUGUACACACCGCCCGUCACACCAUGGGAGUUGGCCACGCCCGAAGUCGUUACUCUAACCGUUCGCGGAGGAGGGCGCCGAAGGCAGGGCUGAUGACUGGGGUGAAGUCGUAACAAGGUAGCCGUACCGGAAGGUGUGGCUGGAUCACCUCCUUUUAGGGAGACCUACCCUUGAUAACUCCGAACGCAUUUUUAUUAGGAGUAUCGAGCGGUCACUCUAGGUCGGUCAGGGCUUUGAGUCAAGUUUCUAGACUAUGGUUGAGGUUUAUUUCUUGUUGGUCACUAGCGAUAGUGAGGGGCGAGGAACUAAACACGGGCUAUUAGCUCAGGUGGUUAGAGCGCACCCCUGAUAAGGGUGAGGUCCCUGGUUCGAGUCCAGGAUGGCCCACUGCGUGGGGGUUUAGCUCAGCUGGUAGAGCGCCUGCUUUGCAAGCAGGAUGUCAGCGGUUCGAGUCCGCUAACCUCCACCACGAAAGCAUGGAUUGAAUUCAGCACAGUGUGUUUUGGUGAUGGCCAAGGCAUAGUCUGCUGGGUGAGAACCCGGCUUGAGAACCUUGAAAACUGAAUAUGAGAGAAGUGUAAGGUAGUACACACAGAACAUUCAAAGUUCGUUGAGAGAAGAGUGAACUUAAUUAGUUACGACUAGUUGAGUGAAGGUCAAGCUACAACGGGCUCACGGUGGAUACCUAGGCACACAGAG
rnacentral:misc_RNA from 2 species